UGUCACCAAACCUUCUUGUUAAAACUCUCAUCAGCUCUCAGAAGCUAAGUACUGUUUGGGCUGGUUAGUACUUGUAUGGGAGACCAUUGGGAAUACCAGGUCUCAUAGUGGGAC
rnacentral:rRNA from 1 species